CUAUAAGUGGACUUCAUCAUGCACUGUUUCAUGUUAUUAUACAGUGCAGUUAUACAAUUGGAGUUACAGAACUCAGGAUCCGUAGUUGGAAAAAUUGGGAAUCGGAGACUACAUCCCCUCCCCUGACUUUGAUUUUUCCACCGGCUUACCUACGAGACAUCACUUGUUCGAGCUCAUACUAAUUUCUGCAGUCGGAGUCCAUUCUUCUUCUAUAUUAUUGAAAUUCAUUGAGAGAGGAUGAUGAUGAUCUUCACUUGUUCUACUGGUGCAGGUUCAUAUCCAAACGUCAUUGGAGGAUGAUUUCAAAACAGUCGUAGGAAUAAGGUUAUUAUCUAAACAAAUAUGACUUUUUUAGAUUAAAAAAUACGUAUUUUGCUGAAAAUUGUAUUGUUUUUAAUAUUAACAGUCCUGUCUUGUGGGCGUCAUUUGUGAUCUUCUUGCUCCUGAACAUUAAUGAUGAGACAUUGUUCUGGGAAUAGCUAUGACUUUUCUUUCCAACAUGAAUUAUGAACUCAUAAAAAUCUUCUUUCAGGAUGACAUAUAUUGUUUUGGGGAUCAUUGAUUCAUGUAGUGGUAAGGAUUAAGG